AAUCUGUGAAAAAAUCAAGCUCCUGUGGCUCCUCCCUGUGCUCCUACUGCCACUUGCAGAAAUACACCGCUCCCGGUCAGGAACAGCCAAUCAGAGCCAGGAGGAGUGUCUUAGCAGUGUCAAUCACUCUCGUGUACGUACGCGCUGCUCAUACCCCUCCCCCGCACAGCGCGUGCCCUUCAAGCUCAAGAUUGCCAGUGUACUGCAGCUGUGCUAAUCGCGGAGAAACAACUUUUCAGGAAAACUGCCAAUUUCUCGAGUGACACCUGCUCAGAAAACAAAGACGGUCAAACAGAAGAAGACCGACAACAAAAAGCGAGCUAAAAAGAAAGAAUCAAACCGAGCCCGAAAUAAAACAAGGGUCAACAUCAGAGCGUCUUUUCAGAGGUGGAGGGAGCUACGCCUCCUGAAAGGGUUCAACACGGAUUCAGAGCUAGCGUUAGCCACAUUUCUGCUUGACAUGUCAGACAUUGCCCCGGACAUAGAGGCACGUGAAGGAAUCGUCUUUCAGUCCAAAUCAAAAUGUUCAGUAUUUCCUUGUGCAGGAGUACUUUGCAAAAAAAGCUGAUUUAUUUUACCCAUAUGCUAAUAAAACCUACAUAUUUC